rnacentral:rRNA from 1 species
GAUGAACGCUGGCGGCGUGCCUAACACAUGCAAGUCGAGCGAAGCACUUGCGAAUGAUCCUUCGGGUGAUUUUGCUGGUGACUGAGCGGCGGACGGGUGAGUAACGCGUGGGUAACCUGCCUCAUACAGGGGAUAACAGUUAGAAAUGACUGCUAAUACCGCAUAAGCGCACAGUACCACAUGGUACAGUGUGAAAACUCCGGUGGUAUGAGAUGGACCCGCGUCUGAUUAGCUGGUUGGUGGGGUAAUGGCCCACCAAGGCGACGAUCAGUAGCCGACCUGAGAGGGUGAUCGGCCACAUUGGGACUGAGACACGGCCCAAAUCCUACGGAGGCAGCAGUGGGGAAUAUUGGUCAAUGGGCGCAGGCCUGAACCAGCCAAGUAGCGUGAAGGAUGACUGCCCUA